ensembl:lncRNA
AAGCAUGGAGGAGGAGGUGUGAUGGUGUGGGGGUGCUUUGCUGGUGACACUGUUGGGGAUUUAUUCCAAAUUGAAGGCACACUGAACCAGCAUGGCUACCACAGCAUCCUGCAGUGACAUGACAUCAGAUCUGGUUUGCAUUUAGUUGGACCAUCAUUUAUUUUUCAACAGGACAAUGACCCCAAACACACCUCCAGGCUGUGGAAGGACUAUUUGACCAAGAAGGAGAGUGAUGGAGUGCUGUGUCAGAUGACCUGAACUCCAGUCACCUGACAUAAACCCAAUCCAGAUGGUCUGGCAUGAGAUGGACCACAGAGUGAAGGCAAAAGGACCAACAAGUGCUCAGCAUCUCUGGGACUCCUUCAAGACUGUUGGAAAACCAUUUCAGCUUUGAAUCUCCUCAUCAGAGUCGGUUUGUGGCGGGAGCUGAAGCCUUCAGACAGGUGAUUGGAUGCAACGAUGACGGCGAAUCAGUGACGCAUCAUCAGAUCACCACCGAGGAAGAAGCAGCGACGUCGUCCUCAGACAUGGCCGAUGUUCGGUUACAGUAGUCGACCCAUGUGGACCAGAUAUACCAGAAGGAGACCCCGAACUUCACCAAUCCUCCGACUCCAAACCAACCCUCACUCCAAUCCGUUCGUCCUCAGGUGUCGAUGAACCAUGGACAUCACCUGGCUCUGCGUCGUCUUGUUCGUCGCCGUCGUCAUCGCUGUCGUCCUCCUCGUCUUCACCUGUGUGAACUGCAGGAAAAAAGGCCCCAUGGGUGGGAUGAAGCUUCUGCAGCCGCAUGCGGUUUCCAUAUUAAUACUUCAUAAAGGCCCCAUUGGUUUCCAUUUAGACGUGUUAAAACUGAAUUACAUCAGAGUUUUUACACAUCUGAUGUUCAUGUGAUUUUU